AGAAAACUAACUUCACUCCGGUCUGCCACCAGCACAGCCAUGAACGCGGCUUGACUGUUUUGUAUUGGGUUUAUCCACCUUAACGUUUGAAGGCGGUUCGUCCGUCGCCCGCUCGGCUAGUUCUGAAAAUAUUACAGAGAAACUCAAGUGAUUGUAUUGAACUACUAGUAUCCUCACAUCGCUAUGUUCUCCAUCAGUUCAAAUAAAUCUUUGGUACUCUUGCGGUUCUGCAGCAGGGCUGCUUGUCGGACGAGGACAAGUCGCGUCAAUUGUGAACAUCAGAACUAAGGACAUUCUUGAUGAAGAUGAACGCAAAACGUGUAUGCGGGCCCAUGGAAUCGCUGCUGCUUGCCUUGUUAUCUUUCUCCCUUGUUCGAGGUCACACUACUAGCCGACCAGGUGCGAAUCCGGCGGAGGGCAAUGGUGCUGGGUUCAGUGUCGGCGGUCUGAAGUCGGUCCUGGAGAACACUGUGUCCCCUGCCUUCGGUGCCACCAUCAUCAUCAUCAUCACCGUUAUUGUGUCGGGGAGCGCCUAUCUCUGUUUCCUGAAGUACGUCUGUACGGGCUGCUGCAAAGCCACUCAGGUGGCUCCAGUCACACACCUGGACCCUAACAAGAGUGAAGAACAGGUGUAGUGUGUAACGGGUGUAGUGAGGGACAGGUGUAGUGAGGGACGGGUGUAGUGAGGGACAGGUGUAGUGUGUAACGGGUGUAGUGUGUAACGGGCGUAGUGAGGGACGGGUGUAGUGUGUAAUGAGGCGUAGUGAGGGACGGGUGUAGUGUGUAACAGGUGUAGUGUGUAAUGAGGCGUAGUGUGUAACGGGUGUAGUGUGGGACGGGUGUAGUGUGGGACGGGUGUAGUGUGGGACGGGUGUAGUGUGUAACGGGUGUAGUGUGUAACGGGUGUAGUGUGUAACGGGUGUAGUGAGGGACGGGUGUAGUGUGUAACGGGUGUAGUGUGUAACGGGUGUAGUGUAGGGACGGGUGUAGUGUGUAACGGGUGUAGUGAGGGACGGGUGUAGUGUGUAACGGGUGUAGUGAGGGACGGGUGUAGUGAGGGACGGGUGUAGUGAGGGACGGGUGUAUUGUAGGGAGGUGUGUGGAAUACUGACCUCAUUCUGGACCAUUCUUUCCCUGGCAUUUCAGCACUUGAUGGAAUCCUUCAGUUCAUCUCUUUCAUGUUUAAUGACUGUGAACACGAGUGAUUUAUUGAGCUCAUUGAAGAGUUGUGUGUGUAAGUGAUUACUGUUCUGAUCUUUGCCCGCCACCAACACCUCCCAUCCAAGAGACCCUCAGAGAGACAGACGGAUGUGAUUCAAAAAGAAAGGCUGCAAAAUGAUCACACACAGACAAUAGAAAAUUAAGUGGCUCAACCAAGCCUGACAUUAAUUGAGUAAACUGCCUGUGAGCCUUUGUGUCUGCAGUGGCUUAUGCAUUUGUGUGAUUAUUAAUGUGUGUUUUAUUUGUGUGGGUUUGAGUAUCUAAGUGAGUGUGUGUUUGUUUCCAAAGGGAGCAACCUGCUAUGACUGAUGUGAGAAAGUAGGAACACGUAAUUUCUGGGGAUUUCGAAACCUCACCUCCCUUUUCUGUUUUUCUUUACCUGAUCAUCUCUCUUAUUACAUUUCUUCUUUCUUCCUCCUUAUGAUACAGUACAUAAUCACACCAGAACCAAUUACAGUGCCAAGUCACCAAACAAUAGACAUUUUCAUUUAUGCUGAUUGUCUCCAUGCAAAGCUGCGUGAAGAGAAGCCAAUUGUACUUCCUUAAUCACAACAGAGACACUGUAUCAAACUAAUUAUCCUCACCCACAGAAGCUUUCAACUCAGUUUUUUUUAUAAACUCAGCUUUUGCAGUGUUGCACAGCGCGUUAUUUUCUAAAUGUGUUUUUUUGUUGAAAAUGAGUGAUUAAAAUGUCUCCAUACCCAAUCCAUCCUAAGAGGAUUUAUCUGUGAUGUGUGCCAGAAUGAAAGAUCGAAAGUGACAGGA
ensembl:lncRNA